CUGCUUUCUACUUUCAGCGAGCCGACCACGCUUCCCUUUCCUCCAUUGGGGAGUGCACGCAUCUCCAUCUUCUCUCUCUCUCUCUAUCUCUGCAUUCUGUGUGCGACACUUGUUUAUCUCUCAGAGUGAAUUUGUGUGUCAGAUUAAUUAAGGACAAGCCCUGGGCGAGGAAAAAGGCAGGGUUGCGGUUGCCGAGCUCUCCGGUCCGCCGCCUCGGUGCUCCCUUCGUCAGCAUCCACCUAUCCCUCCCUCUCUCUCUCUCUCUUCCCCAGACCCCUGUGUCCACUGCACUGCACAGCAUCAUCCUUAAAUACUCUCGCCCCCCUCCCAACAAGUCCCGCAGCUAAGCUAGCGCACCAGCACCACACAUUCCGCCUCCAACUGCGACGCCGGCCAGCAGGUCACAUACGACUACGAGGGUGGGAAGCAGGUCGCCGGUAGAGGACCAAAAACACGCCAAGAGUGUGAGGGAGAUCAUGGCUGGCAGGCAGGAGAAGAGCUACUUCGACGUGCUGGGCAUCUGCUGCCCGUCGGAGGUGCCGCUGGUGGAGAAGCUCCUCGAGCCGCUCCCCGGCGUGCACAAGGUCACCGUGAUCGUGCCCUCCAGGACGGUGAUCGUCGUGCACGACGCUGCCACCAUUUCCCAGGCCCAGAUAGUCAAGGCGCUGAACGGGGCGCGGCUGGAGGCGUCGGUGCGGGCGUACGGCGGCGGCGCGGACAAGAUCAACAAAUGGCCGAGCCCCUACGUGCUCCUCUGCGGGGUCCUUCUGGUCGCCUCGCUCUUCCAGCACUUCUGGCACCCGCUGAGGUGGCUCGCGCUCGUCGCCACGGCCGCCGGCCUGCCGCCCAUCGUCCUCAGAAGCGUCGCCGCCGCGCGGAGGCUCACCCUGGACGUCAACAUACUCAUGCUUAUCGCAGUCGGUGGGGCAGUUGCACUCAAGGACUACUCCGAGGCCGGCUUCAUCGUCUUCCUCUUCACCACGGCGGAGUGGCUCGAGACAAGGGCGAGCUGCAAGGCCACUGCCGGGAUGUCGUCGCUGAUGAGCAUGGCACCACAAAACGCUGUGCUAGCAGAGACGGGGCAGGUGGUCGUGGCGCAGGACGUGAAGGUCGACACGGUGAUAGCUGUGAAGGCGGGGGAGGUCGUUCCGAUAGACGGUGUCGUCGUCGAUGGGCGGAGCGAGGUCGACGAGCAGACCCUCACCGGAGAGUCCUUCCUGGUGGCCAAACAGACGGACUCGCAGGUCUGGGCCGGCACCCUCAACAUAGACGGCUACAUUUCUGUGAGGACAACGGCUAUGGCCGACAACUCGGCGGUGGCCAAGAUGGCGAGGCUGGUUGAAGAGGCCCAGAACAGCAGAUCAGAGACGCAGAGGCUGAUCGACACCUGCGCCAAGUACUACACUCCUGCGGUGAUCGUCAUGGCAGCGGCGGUGGCGGUGACGCCUGUGAUCGUGAGAGCGCACAACCUGAGGCACUGGUUUCAGCUGGCCCUGGUCCUCCUGGUGAGCGCCUGCCCAUGCGCUGUAGUUCUCUCGACGCCGGUCGCCACCUUCUGCGCGCUGCUCAAGGCCGCCAGGACCGGGCUGCUCAUCAAAGGUGGGGAUGUCCUCGAGUCCUUGGCCGGGAUCAAAGUCGCGGCUUUUGACAAAACUGGCACGAUUACAAGUGGAGAGUUCGCCGUCGCAGAGUUCCGGGCAGUCGUAGAACGUGUUGCAGAUCAACAGCUGCUCUACUGGGUGUCGAGCGUGGAGAGCAGGUCGAGCCACCCAAUGGCAGCUGCCCUUGUUGAUUAUGCUCGAUCAAACUCGGUGGAACCAAAAUCGGAGAAUGUCUUGGAAUUUCAGAUUUACCCUGGUGAGGGGAUUUACGGUGAAAUCGACGGACAAGGUGUAUACAUCGGGAACAAAAGGAUCUUGUCAAGGGCUUCAUGUGAAACAGUUCCAGAGGUAAAUGACAUCAAAGGGGUCACCGUUGGAUACGUGGCCUGCAACAAGGAGUUGGUCGGGCUAUUCGGCCUCUCGGACGUCUGCCGAACUGGAUCAGCCGAAGCCAUCAGGGAGCUGAGAUCAAUGGGCAUCAAGUCAGUGAUGCUCACAGGUGAUAGCACUGCCGCUGCCACCUACGCACAGAACCAGCUGGGAAAUGUUCUAGCCGAGGUUCACUCUGAACUGCUGCCGGUGGACAAGGUGCGGAUCGUCGACGAGCUCAAGGUGAGGGACGGCCCAACGCUGAUGAUCGGCGACGGCAUGAACGACGCCCCGGCGCUGGCCAGGGCCGACGUCGGCGUCUCGAUGGGCGUGUCCGGCUCGGCCGUGGCCAUGGAGACGAGCCACGUCACGCUCAUGUCCAACGACAUCCGCAGGAUCCCCAAGGCCAUCCGGCUGGCGAGGAGGACGCGCCGGACCAUCCUCACCAACAUCGUCUUCUCGGUCGCCACGAAGCUCGCCAUCGUCGGGCUCGCGCUCGCCGGGCACCCGCUCGUCUGGGCGGCGGUGCUCGCUGACGUCGGCACGUGCUUGCUGGUGAUCAUGUACAGCAUGAUGUUGCUGAGAGGGGGAGACGGUGGGAGGGGGAAGAAAUGCUGCGCUUCUUCUCACCAAGGGUCUCACUCUCACCCCGAGAAGCACGGCGGUCCGUGCAAAUCAGCAGGCGGCUGCGCAGGUUCGUCUGCUGGUGGCCAUGCUUGCGGCGAUGAACAUCAUCAUUCAUCACCACGGGCAUGGCGACCACCAAGAGCCGGGCAGCCCGCACCACCCACACAAGCAUGGAUGUGAAGAUCAUGGCCAUGGCCAUGGCCACAGCCACAGCCACUGUCAAGAUCAUGGUCAGGGCCACCACCACACCAAAGAGGCGAGCAGCCAAUUGGUGACAAGCAAGAACCAUUUCCAUGGCCAUGGCCACUGCAAAGAGAAGCACGAUGAGCAGAGCAUCAACUCAGCCGAGGCAAUCCGAGAGCACUCCAUACUGAUCGAUGCGUCAGCUGCUGACCAACAACAAAUCAAGUGCAGUCACCAGAGCGAAGAACACGAGGCAGAAAACUGCGGGCAUCACGCCAAGGCGAAAGCCUGCACCCCAGCUCCGGCCGACUGCUGCGACACGGUACGCGACGAGGGAUGCGCAACCAAAGCGAGGGACGUGUGCUCGAGCCGGCGGGCUGGUUGCACUGCCGGAGAAACCAGGCGAUGUUGCCGGAGCAGCAGGGCGAGCAGGUGCGGCGGCGGCCACGCAAGCAUGCUGAAGCUGCCUGAGAUCGUGGUGGAGUAGGAAUGUAGGAUGGAACUACUAUAUAUCAGCAAGCAGCAGCAGCAGUUCAAGAAGAAGCCUUUGCUGCUGCUGAAAAUCGGUGGGAGGGGAUGCUGCUUUCUUGUGUCCUCUCCCUGUUGAUUGAUCCGGCAUCGAAUUUUAACAUAAAAGGAUGCUAGCCGACUUGCCUCCACGGAGCUCCCUCGAUUUGAUGCACUUCUGACCGUUCGAUCAUAGUCAAUCUGGUCUUCUGGCUCUUCUCAGACGUCAGAUCUUUACCUACAGUCAAUCUGAUUUUCACCCGUCGGUAGUUCUCCGUAGCCUAUGACUGGUGGGCUCGUUGCUCACGUCUAUUGGCCGGGUGAGACAUUUCGACGUGCGAGCCAAUCCUCCCCUCACGCGCGGCACACGGUGUAUGGCACCGCACAAACCCUACCCCCGAUCCAUUGGUGUUUCACCCUUUCUUCCCCUUUCCUCCCCUUCCCUUCAGCCGCCACACCUCCUCUCACGUGCUUGCCGCCGCCACGGCCUCGCUGCGCCCGCCACUAGAUCUGCGCCCUCGAGGGUGACGGCGAGCUGAAGACGAUGAGCAGCGGCGCGUGGGGUUCGUGCAGGUCCUCGGCUCGCCCGUACCUCACCAGUCCGCCGGGCAAGCAAGCCCGUGGGAGACGAGCGCACGGAGGUCAGCGGCAAGUGCUCCAGAGAGGAGAGAAGGCGGCACUCUAGGUGGCGGCGCUGGGCCAGCAAAAUCAGGUGGUGGCUGAGGUACACGAGAGCGAGGUGGUGCUGGAACGCAUGGGGGCCGGCAGCAAGUCGCCGAAAGUGCACAACCACUCCGACGAGGUGGUGGUGGCCUGCUUGCCCAUGGUGAGCCAUUGUUCUUUGCUCCUCUCUUCUCAUGACAAGGUUUGACGGACACCGAAGCCGUCUGCUCCAUCCGCCAGCAUGCUCAUAAAGUGGGAGGGGAAGGAGGCCAACGACUAGGAGAAGGAGCAUGGAUCAUAAUCGAUGUUAUGGGUAAAACUGCUAACAAAUUGCUGCAUCAUCAUGGGUAAGGUGUCAAUACUACUAGGUAGGCAUAGUGAGUAUUCCACUUAUUAUGUUCACCUUGACACGCUUCAUGGAUUGUAUGAAUUACUUUAAAUAUGUAAACCUACUUUGCUGUAUGUUAGUUUUAGGAUGGCAACUUGCCUUUUUUUUCAUGCCUUGUUAACAGUUUUGGUUCUCACAGGGUUUGAGAUGUGUAGAUCCAGUUCGAAGGAUCAGUUGCAGGUGAGUAUGUAGUAUCCUUAUCUAUUUCAUAUGCUUGACUCCACUUUCAUUUUCCUAUGAUGUAUACAUCGGGCUCAGGGCUUUGGCCUGUUCCAUCCAAGGUGUAUCAUGCUUUAUCUGAAACUCAAGUCAUUUGAUGUUGUUGGGGCUUCUUUGAUCGACAUGAGAAAGAAGGCAUAUGUGAUUUUUUUUAGGCCAUCUGUCCAGGUAGUGACAUUCUAAUAUGCAAGGAAUGUGUUUAUUUGAUUUUUUUAUUCUGACAUACACUAAAGUAAUCAUGACCAUCAGUAAAAGGAACACAGUCAAAACAUGAUUAUAUUUUGUCUUGGUAUACCUCAUUUAGUUGUCAUUUGUAUAUUUCAAGGAAAUUAUUCAAUUUUUAGUUAUCUUUCCAUUGCUAUUUUCCCUUCUAUGCUUAUCGGAUGGGUAGACAAUCUUAUAAGGGGAUGCAAUGGAUUUUUGUAUUUUGGAUUCUCUGGACUGAAUGGGUUAUAUUUUUAACCCAUAAAAAUUACUUUGACUCCAAUAUGAUCAACUGUGACUCGGAAUAUUUUUCCCAAUAGUAUCGGACAACAUUGUAGGCACCCACCCUCCAAAGCAUACAUUUGCAUUAUCUUAUUUGAUUAUUGAACUAACUAUCAACGAUCAUGUAUAUAGACUUCCCGGAGAAAUAAACCAAGAUGGGUAUUAUCUCGUACACCACAAGGAACCUGCCCUCCUGCUCAGGUUCUGUAGCCAUGGCCCUCGAGUUAGCGGAGAAUGGUUAUGAUGAAGACUCUGAUUACGGUUCUUAGAUCCUAUGUGCCUGCUUUAUUAUUCUGCUGCUGUGAAACAGGCCUUGUCGCCACCUCACUUGUCAUCGUAGUCGUCCCUACCUCACUCCCCUCUGCCCUUGAGGCAAGGGUAUGUACCUUACUUAAUUCUUCACUGGAAAUUCUUUGAAUUGAUAUACAAGUAUUUCAAACACUUCAUCUAUUGGGGAGCUGCUAUAUUUUCCUCCUGUUGUCCGGCCAUCGCUUGAUCUUUGCGUUCCACUCGUUCCACUCCUCCUAUUGGUCAUAGUUUGCCUCUGCCUUGCUGUGUGCCAAAGACAGAUCCAGAAGAUAUGGUAACUACUGUUGAUGGAUUGAUUUUAUGUAUAACUCAUCUAUUCAUAAUUUUAUGUUAACUUAGUUGUUGUGUUUUUCUUUUCAAAUGCUUUUGUUUUAUGGGAGGCUGAGGGUUUUGGAAUUAUUUGUAUGGGUGAGUUCUUUUUCUGUAAGUGUAUUUUAUUUUAUAUGUUGCUGACUGUUUUUGUAAUUUAUUCUUGUUCUUUUAUGAAACCGAGAAGAAAGAAAAGAACAACGAGAAAUUGUUUAGCUAAAUAGGCAAAGCCGCUGAUGUUUACUUGCUGUUUGUUGUAGACCCUUGAUGGGUCAUGCUUUUGGCUACCUUUUGCGUUCCUUGACAUCAUCGAAGUUGAAAUAAGAAGAAGAUGAUGAUGAAAUCUUGCCGAGAUCUGAGGAUGAAGAGAAGAUAUGGGUUAACUUUCAGAGUGAUUGAGUUGGUCAAAAAAUAUGAAGCACAUCAAAGGGGCUUGUUGCUUGGCUGCUAUGGAGAAGGGUAUUCUUUGAAGGAGUUGUAGACCUUUUGGAUAUGCUUCAAUUUGGACACUUUUUCAGUAUGUAUAUGAUAUGGGCAGACCCAGUGCAUAGAAGCUCCCACACAAGGUGGGGUCUGGGGAGGGAUUAUAGGAACCUAGUCUUACCCCUGCAAAGUGCAAUGCAGAGAGGCUGGUUCGAACCCAGGACCUCUUGGCACAAGUGGGGAGGACUUCACCACUGCGCCAGGCCUGCCCUCAAACAUGAUAUCUACGUAUCUGAGAAUUUUUAUUUGUGGGAAAUGAAAAACUUAAUGUGGCUGGAGUUCUACGCGGAUUAAAUCUAAUUAUCCUUAUAUUUCAACUCCAAUGACUCGGCCUCACAUGUAGAAUGCGGUUUUGGGCAUGUGUUUCGGUUCAUUGGGUUUCGACGGAAUCAAAGGUCAGGAAAAAUAUAUAGGUGUUAGUUCAUUAUCUUUUCAGGUUUCUUAAUUAUUCAUACAUUUGCAUCUAUGUUACAGGUGCUAGCUUUCAUGGCUAGGAUUUUUUUAGCAUAUUCAAAUCUGUAUUAGAAUAAGGUUUCCCCCUUGGAUGUUCCUUAUGUAUCCAUAUAUUAGAUUUUUGUGUGGUUCAUUUGUUGCAAAUAUAUAAAUAAUAAUCUGAUUGACUAUAUGCAGAUUUGGUUUGAAAUCUUAAAGCAGUCUCUGACAAGUUGUAGGUGAAGAAGAUCAUGUCCUAGCAGUUAUAUGCACGUGGAGUACAUUUAUUGUAUGCAUUUUGUUUAGAAGUAUUCAGUUUCAUAGCAUAAUCAAGUGUUUUUCAAUACUCUCUCUCUCACACACACACAAUGUCUUUAAUUUCUGUUUUUUUAAUGUAUUGGCCUCUGAAUGAUCUGCAUGGUAUAUAUCUAUAUCGCUGAAUGACCUCGACUUGUACCUUUGUGGUUUGCAAACACUAAAACAUGUGUUGCUACAGAGUUAUCUUAGUUUUGACGUUGAUCGGUGCAGGUGGGUUCUCAUGGUAGGAUUUGAUCCACUCGGAUAUCAAUGGUACUGAUACUUAAGUUGGCUUUCUUUAAAAAAAUAAAGUAUGUUAUGUGUUAGUUUGGGCGCAAGCCUGUAUCAUGAAUACAUACUGCUCACAGUGCAUUUGCAUGAGAAGCCCUUCACAAGAAAAAACUAUACAUUCACAUUUUUUUUGCGGAAACUAUAUAUUUACUUAUUAUUCAGAGCUCACUGUAUGAAAUCCGAGUGGUGCUCAAGAUGUUAAUUAACUAGCUUUGUGAAUGGGGUGGUGAAAAAUACUGCUCACUUUAUUUGUUUGGUCGCAAGCCUAUAUCAUGUACACAUACUGCUCAAUUUAUUUGAACCUUCAGAAAAUAAAUCAAUUUGCUCAAGCCUUUCUGCUGUUGAUUCCAGUUCAUUGGAGUAACUUUAAUAUUUCUUCUCAUUGCAUCAAUUAACAUGAAUGCAAAAUAGAUUUGUUGUCUUAUGCUAUCCCGUAUCAGGGAUGAUGCCACUAAGUUGUUAUAAUUAUGCUUGUAGUCCUUGUCGGAGUUUGGGUACUGCACUUUAUAAUGCAAAGGAAUGGUAUAAACUAUAGCUGGUUCUUUCAUGUAGUAUGCCUUUUUCUAUAAUGUAAGUUAUGGAUGCGGUACUUCUUCGAAACCUUCAUAAUGCUUUUUGUCAUGCAACAACUUGCUAACAAGUCCUGGUCUGUUGCAGUUGAUUGCACAUGUGGAGUGCUUCUGGAUGCAUUUAUUGUCUCAUGUCACAAGGAUUUACAACUUUUACGAGAAUGCGGGUGUAGAGUAUUGAUAAUUCCAGAUGGUUCACUUCCUACAAUAGAGCACCCUACAGUACUAUCAAUUAUUCAGUCAGAGAACCACACUAUGCUGAAUAUAUUGGUGGAUCAGGUACAUCGAUAAGCACCCAAUGUUCAGUCAGAUGAAGAGAGUGAAAAUAUAUCGGUGGAUCAGGUACAUUGAUAAGCACCCAAUGUUCAGUCAGAUGAAGAGAGUGAAAACAGCGUUUACUCUGAAUUUUCAGACAGAGUGGCGAUGCAGCUGGAAGUUUGAGGCACUAGAUUCCCCCUGAUGGAGGAACAAUCAAGUUAAAUUUAGAUGCUUCAUUCUUUGCUGAGACUUGGAGGAGCUAUAUCGGGGCCAUCGCCGGGGAUCUUUUUUUGGUGUUUCUUCUAUUUAUCCAAGAGCAUUGACAAAUGUAGUUCUGUGGAAGAGGCUGAGGCUCAGGCGAUGCUAGAUGGAUUGACAGCUCUGACAUCUAUGUACAACAAUGUCUGUUUCCCAACUUCAUGCGACAUUAAGACCAGCUCUUCUUCUGUUCUUGUCCAAGUCCGGGCAGCAGAACCAGUAUACCAUCGCCCAUGCCCUUGGUGUGUGUGUGCCAGAACUAAAGAGAACAUACUCAAGAUUGCAGAUAUCCCAGCGGAGUUACAUGGGGCAGUUAAAUCUGAUUGUAAACAAGGUUCCCGAGUAGUUUCUACUCUGUAUCUAAAACAUGCAUCCGAUGGAAUUUUUUUUUUAAUAUUGUGAUGUAUUUCAGGAAGCGGAUUAGGAGCACUCGGGUGCUCUACCCCCCUGUGUAGCACCCGAGAGCUCCUAUGCAUUUUCGUGCAUUUCACUCCUUUUGUCAUGGAAGUAGAUAAGGCCUCACCGGUUCGGGUGUGACCGUAAAUUAUGUCAGUUAUUUUGAAGUUA